rnacentral:lncRNA from 1 species
GAUGUAAUUUUGGAAACAUCACCUUUUAUUAUAUAUCCACAUGGAUUUUUACUUGUAUGCUUACGAAUUUUUUCUUGUCUAUUUAUAAAGUAAUGCAUGCUUGUUAUGACAAAUUCAAACCAAAUGAACUGUAUAAAGGAAAGAACUCGACUGCAUUUUGGUGCCAAAUCUUUGGACCCAAUCACCCAAAGAUCGGGCAAAUUGGCAUGACUGCUCUAACUUUGUUAGUGAGAUUUUUUUUUUCUUCUUGCCAAAUUACUGGCAGAACAGGCACUCCCUGAGAGCUCUUGGGUCAGUGUGGAGGGACUCCUUACAAAAUUCAAACUAACAUUUAAAAUAUACGUUAUUUUGCAAUCGCUCCUCCCAGGAAGUAGUGCCAAGACUCAACCCUCUUCCUUUGACAGCAUGAAUUGCAACAGGGUAGCCUGGUUCGUUGAGUGUGAGAUUUAAAUUUUUAAGUUUUAAUGCUUUUUAAAAUGCUCUGGACAAUUAAAAAAAACUGGGAGUGUAAAGUGAGGGGAAAGGGUGUGUGGAUCUUCUCACAGCAGACAGAAAAGUCCCAUGUCACUCAGUAUGAUUCUCUUACACCAAUGACCAGAAGAAUCUUGGCCACACAACUUAAAUCAAGGAAAUACAAACCCUGUAGAUCUUGGUUUCUGGAAGCUUGUCGUUUGCCUGGUCCUUCAUUUUACACAAAUCAGGCAGAGCCCCAGUGGUCACAAAGUGGAACUUUGUCCAGCAAGCUAUUCAUUUCACUCAAACCAGAAUCUAUUAACUCUUCCCUCCUGAGCAGAGGAAGAUAAUGGAUUUGGAAGAUUGGCAACCAGGACUACAGAAAAUUUUUAUUUCUGACUGGACCCUGACAAGACACCCCACUUGUUUUAGAAAUUGAGGGGAAAGAAGGCUAAAAAUAUAAAGACCAAGUAAGAGGAAUGGUCCGCCUGAGUGACUGUAUCGUGCAUGUUUAGCCCCCAAGGGCAGAUAUGUGGCAUGCUUCAUUUCACCCCUCUCCUGCCCUUGACAGACAUCACUAAUCAAUCAGGAACCAUUUCCCACUGAGGAUGGAUGCAGCCUCCAUCUGUCUUGAUACAGCCCUGUGGGUAGCUGCUCCCAACCCACCUAGAUUGGCUUAUGAGAUUGAUUUACUGAGCACACUAUUUAUUCAACAUUUAUUGAACAUCUGAACUGUGCCAGGCCUAUGAAGGGCAAUCCAGGAACAAGAAACUUCUAUUCUUAUGAAAAUGCAACCUUUUAUUGCCCUUUUAGCCCUGCACAUUUGUUUGGCGUGCAGUAGGUGCUCAAUAAAUUCUUUUCGUUGUUGUCACAUUGCACUGAGUUGGCUGGGGAAGAGCGUUCUGGUGUCAGCCGACCCAGCUGAGAAGGGCGGCCAUGGUUCUGGAGAACAUUUGUUCCACCUCAGCUCACUUCCUGCUUGAGGUCUAUUAAAAACACACUGACCCCCAAGAUCAGCUCUCAGCUCGAUGUGUUUUGAGGGGCAAGGGCAGGGAGCCAAGAAAAGAAUCCUACACGGGACCCCUCCUUGCC